rnacentral:rRNA from 1 species
AUACGUAGGGUCCAAGCGUUAAUCGGAAUUACUGGGCGUAAAGCGUGCGUAGGCGGUCUCGCAAGUCCGAUGUGAAAUCCCCGGGCUUAACCUGGGAACUGCGUUGGAAACUAUGAGGCUAGAGUGCGGCAGAGGGGGGUGGAAUUCCAGGUGUAGCAGUGAAAUGCGUAGAGAUCUGGAGGAACACCGAUGGCGAAGGCAGCCCCCUGGGUUAGCACUGACGCUCAUACACGAAAGCGUGGGGAGCAAACAG